UACGGAGGGUGCAAGCGUUAUCCGGAUUCACUGGGUUUAAAGGGUGCGUAGGUGGGCAGGUAAGUCAGUGGUGAAAUCUUUGGGCUUAACCCGAAAACUGCCAUUGAUACUAUUUGUCUUGAAUAUUGUGGAGGUCAGCGGAAUAUGUCAUGUAGCGGUGAAAUGCUUAGAUAUGACAUAGAACACCAAUUGCGAAGGCAGCUGGCUACACAUAUAUUGACACUGAGGCACGAAAGCGUGGGGAUCAAACAGG
rnacentral:rRNA from 1 species